rnacentral:rRNA from 1 species
AGUCGAGGGGUAUUAGUUUUCGGACUAAGAGACCGGCGCACGGGUGCGUAACGCGUAUGCAAUCUACCUUUUACAGAGGGAUAGCCCAGAGAAAUUUGGAUUAAUACCUCAUAGUAUAGCAGGCUGGCAUCAUGCUUCUAUUAAAGUCACAACGGUAAAAGAUGAGCAUGCGUCCCAUUAGCUAGUUGGUAAGGUAACGGCUUACCAAGGCUACGAUGGGUAGGGGUCCUGAGAGGGAGAUCCCCCACACUGGUACUGAGACACGGACCAGACUCCUACGGGAGGCAGCAGUGAGGAAUAUUGGACAAUGGGCGCAAGCCUGAUCCAGCCAUGCCGCGUGCAGGAUGACGGUCCUAUGGAUUGUAAACUGCUUUUAUACGAGAAGAAACACUCCUUCGUGAAGGAGCUUGACGGUAUCGUAAGAAUAAGGAUCGGCUAACUCCGUGCCAGCAGCCGCGGUAAUACGGAGGAUCCAAGCGUUAUCCGGAAUCAUUGGGUUUAAAGGGUCCGUAGGCGGUUUAAUAAGUCAGUGGUGAAAGCCCAUCGCUCAACGGUGGAACGGCCAUUGAUACUGUUAGACUUGAAUUAUUAGGGAAGUAACUAGAAUAUGUAGUGUAGCGGUGAAAUGCUUAGAGAUUACAUGGAAUACCAAUUGCGAAAGGCAGGUUACUACUAAUUGAUUGACGCUGAUGG